rnacentral:rRNA from 1 species
UAUUGGACAAAGGGGGCAACCCUGAUCCAGCCACGCCGCGUGUGUGAAGAAGGUCUUCGGAGUGUAAAGCACUUUAAGUGGGGAGGAAGGGCUUUAGGUUAAUAUACGGAAGACUUGACGUUACCAACAGAAUAAGCACCGGCUAACUCUGCGCCAGCAGCCGCGGUAAUACAGAGGGUGCAAGGGUUAAUCGGAAUUACUGGGCGUAAAGCGCGCGUAGGUGGUUCAGUAAGAUGGGUGUGAAAUCCCCGGGCCUAACCUGGGAACUGCUUUCAUAACUGCUGAGCUAGAGUAAGGUAGAGGGUAGUGGAAUUUCCUGUGUAGCGGUGAAAUGGGUAGAUAUAGGAAGGAACACCAGUGGCGAAGGCGACUACCUGGACUGAUACUGACACUGAGGUGCGAAAGCGUGGGGAGCAAAC